GGAAAGAUGCGAGAGCGGUCGAUUCGGACGGUCUCGAAAACCGUUAUACCAUUUUUUGGUAUCGGGGGUUCGAAUCCCCCUCUUUCCG
rnacentral:tRNA from 1 species